UAAUACGAAGGGUGCAAGCGUUAAUCGGAAUUACUGGGCGUAAAGGGUGCGUAGGCGGUUGUUUAAGUCUGUCGUGAAAUCCCCGGGCUCAACCUGGGAAUGGCGAUGGAUACUGGGCAGCUAGAGUGUGUCAGAGGAUGGUGGAAUUCCCGGUGUAGCGGUGAAAUGCGUAGAGAUCGGGAGGAACAUCAGUGGCGAAGGCGGCCAUCUGGGACAACACUGACGCUGAAGCACGAAAGCGUGGGGAGCAAACAGGAUUAGAUACCCUGGUAGUCCACGCCCUAAACGAUGCGAACUGGAUGUUGGUCUCAACUCGGAGAUCAGUGUCGAAGCUAACGCGUUAAGUUCGCCGCCUGGGGAGUACGGUCGCAAGACUG
rnacentral:rRNA from 1 species